UCAGUGCCGUGUGGUUUAUUGGGUUAUUUUUAUUUGGAGAAAUAAAGUCAUUGCUCAGAACAGCCUGGAUGGAAAGGGGAGUGAAGCAGCCUCUCCACCUUACAGGUGAAAAUUCUGAGACUUCGGCUGCCUGUUGAUUUAAUCCAGGCAGUCCGGAGUAAAUUGUAAGAGACAGGGCUCGGAUGUGAGUGUUACUCAGAACACUAAGCAGUGGGGAAGAAAUGGCCUGGCGAGGUGAUAGAUUUUCCAACUUAAUGUCAAACUAUCUCACGCCUACACAUCUCACCAAUGUCCAGCCUACUUGGCGGAGAGUACUCUAGAGAGACAUCGAAGUCCCUGUUUUCUAAGCUUGCUUUUGUCCUACUCACUGGGAUUUUGAAGAUCUUGUUAAGUAUGACAAGAUGGUUUAGUGAUCCCGCCUUCCUUUCCGGUUUGCCCGGAUGCCAGAAAGGACCCCAUGGAGAAGGACUGCUGAGAGCUGGAGAUCUUGGCUGGCACUCAUGGCUCGUGCCUGUUCCUAAGCCUGAGUGGCAGCUACAGUUAAGAUGUCGUUUCCGGUGUAAAGCCAGUGAACGAGACCCACUAGUCCAGAGAGUUCUGCUCUUGCCCGUCACCGUCAUCUGCGUCUGACCUUCUAACAUCUGUCCUCUUGGCCCACAGAUGUCACAGACCCAGAGCCUGCUGUGUACCAGCUGAAAGAUCCCCAGUCUGAUAACAUCACCCUCUGC
rnacentral:lncRNA from 1 species